AUUUAAGAUUUUCUAAUUUUAAAGUUGACUGAUGUCCCUUUCUAAUUAAUAUGAGAGCAGAACACUACCAAAAGAUCACUGUAGCGCAAAUUCGCUAAGCAGGACGUUCAAAUCAAAGAACUUCUGUUUCUCCUCUUCUUUUGAUUACAUCAAGAUAAUGAUGCCUAUUUACCUCUGGGAACAUGUCAAUGAUCUUAUAUCAUCU
rnacentral:lncRNA from 1 species